rnacentral:rRNA from 1 species
ACGAGAAAUAGCAGUGAGGUGCGCUGUGCGUAUCUCGACUGAAAUGAGAGCGAUUUAAAACCCCCAUCGAGGAUCAAUUGGAGGGCAAGUCUGGUGCCAGCAGCCGCGGUAAUUCCAGCUCCAAUAGCGUAUACAAAAGUUGUUGCAGUUAAAAAGCUCGUAGUCGAACGUAUGGUGAGUGUGCGUGUCCGUCGGUGGGUGAAUGCUUGCCGAACAGUGACACGUGCGCUGCCAGUCUGACAGGUCUUGAGGACUACUUUUUUCCCUGUUAAAAAAAUUGGGUGUUUCAAGCAAAAGAUUAUAUUGGAAUAUGAUAGUAUGGGAUGAUGAGAUAGGCCGUUGGCGGUAUUUUGUUGGUUUGCGCGUUGGCGGAAUGAUGAAGAGGGACAGUUGGGGGUAUUCGAAUUCUAGUGUCAGAGGUGAAAUUCUUGGAUUACUAGAAGGCGAACGACUGCGAAAGCAUUUA